rnacentral:rRNA from 1 species
UUAAGCGACUAAGCGUACACGGUGGAUGCCCUGGCAGUCAGAGGCGAUGAAGGACGUGCUAAUCUGCGAUAAGCGUCGGUAAGGUGAUAUGAACCGUUAUAACCGGCGAUUUCCGAAUGGGGAAACCCAGUGUGUUUCGACACACUAUCAUUAACUGAAUCCAUAGGUUAAUGAGGCGAACCGGGGGAACUGAAACAUCUAAGUACCCCGAGGAAAAGAAAUCAACCGAGAUUCCCCCAGUAGCGGCGAGCGAACGGGGAGCAGCCCAGAGCCUGAAUCAGUGUGUGUGUUAGUGGAAGCGUCUGGAAAGGCGCGCGAUACAGGGUGACAGCCCCGUACACAAAAAUGCACAUGCUGUGAGCUCGAUGAGUAGGGCGGGACACGUGGUAUCCUGUCUGAAUAGUGGGGGGACCAUCCUCCAAGGCUAAAUACUCCUGACUGACCGAUAGUGAACCAGUACCGUGAGGGAAAGGCGAAAAGAACCCCGGCGAGGGGAGUGAAAAAGAACCUGAAACCGUGUACGUACAAGCAGUGGGAGCACGCUUAGGCGUGUGACUGCGUACCUUUUGUAUAAUGGGUCAGCGACUUAUAUUCUGUAGCAAGGUUAACCGAAUAGGGGAGCCGAAGGGAAACCGAGUCUUAACUGGGCGUUAAGUUGCAGGGUAUAGACCCGAAACCCGGUGAUCUAGCCAUGGGCAGGUUGAAGGUUGGGUAACACUAACUGGAGGACCGAACCGACUAAUGUUGAAAAAUUAGCGGAUGACUUGUGGCUGGGGGUGAAAGGCCAAUCAAACCGGGAGAUAGCUGGUUCUCCCCGAAAGCUAUUUAGGUAGCGCCUCGUGAAUUCAUCUCCGGGGGUAGAGCACUGUUUCGGCAAGGGGGUCAUCCCGACUUACCAACCCGAUGCAAACUGCGAAUACCGGAGAAUGUUAUCACGGGAGACACACGGCGGGUGCUAACGUCCGUCGUGAAGAGGGAAACAACCCAGACCGCCAGCUAAGGUCCCAAAGUCAUGGUUAAGUGGGAAACGAUGUGGGAAGGCCCAGACAGCCAGGAUGUUGGCUUAGAAGCAGCCAUCAUUUAAAGAAAGCGUAAUAGCUCACUGGUCGAGUCGGCCUGCGCGGAAGAUGUAACGGGGCUAAACCAUGCACCGAAGCUGCGGCAGCGACGCUUAUGCGUUGUUGGGUAGGGGAGCGUUCUGUAAGCCUGCGAAGGUGUGCUGUGAGGCAUGCUGGAGGUAUCAGAAGUGCGAAUGCUGACAUAAGUAACGAUAAAGCGGGUGAAAAGCCCGCUCGCCGGAAGACCAAGGGUUCCUGUCCAACGUUAAUCGGGGCAGGGUGAGUCGACCCCUAAGGCGAGGCCGAAAGGCGUAGUCGAUGGGAAACAGGUUAAUAUUCCUGUACUUGGUGUUACUGCGAAGGGGGGACGGAGAAGGCUAUGUUGGCCGGGCGACGGUUGUCCCGGUUUAAGCGUGUAGGCUGGUUUUCCAGGCAAAUCCGGAAAAUCAAGGCUGAGGCGUGAUGACGAGGCACUACGGUGCUGAAGCAACAAAUGCCCUGCUUCCAGGAAAAGCCUCUAAGCAUCAGGUAACAUCAAAUCGUACCCCAAACCGACACAGGUGGUCAGGUAGAGAAUACCAAGGCGCUUGAGAGAACUCGGGUGAAGGAACUAGGCAAAAUGGUGCCGUAACUUCGGGAGAAGGCACGCUGAUAUGUAGGUGAAGUCCCUCGCGGAUGGAGCUGAAAUCAGUCGAAGAUACCAGCUGGCUGCAACUGUUUAUUAAAAACACAGCACUGUGCAAACACGAAAGUGGACGUAUACGGUGUGACGCCUGCCCGGUGCCGGAAGGUUAAUUGAUGGGGUUAGCGCAAGCGAAGCUCUUGAUCGAAGCCCCGGUAAACGGCGGCCGUAACUAUAACGGUCCUAAGGUAGCGAAAUUCCUUGUCGGGUAAGUUCCGACCUGCACGAAUGGCGUAAUGAUGGCCAGGCUGUCUCCACCCGAGACUCAGUGAAAUUGAACUCGCUGUGAAGAUGCAGUGUACCCGCGGCAAGACGGAAAGACCCCGUGAACCUUUACUAUAGCUUGACACUGAACAUUGAGCCUUGAUGUGUAGGAUAGGUGGGAGGCUUUGAAGUGUGGACGCCAGUCUGCAUGGAGCCGACCUUGAAAUACCACCCUUUAAUGUUUGAUGUUCUAACGUUGACCCGUAAUCCGGGUUGCGGACAGUGUCUGGUGGGUAGUUUGACUGGGGCGGUCUCCUCCUAAAGAGUAACGGAGGAGCACGAAGGUUGGCUAAUCCUGGUCGGACAUCAGGAGGUUAGUGCAAUGGCAUAAGCCAGCUUGACUGCGAGCGUGACGGCGCGAGCAGGUGCGAAAGCAGGUCAUAGUGAUCCGGUGGUUCUGAAUGGAAGGGCCAUCGCUCAACGGAUAAAAGGUACUCCGGGGAUAACAGGCUGAUACCGCCCAAGAGUUCAUAUCGACGGCGGUGUUUGGCACCUCGAUGUCGGCUCAUCACAUCCUGGGGCUGAAGUAGGUCCCAAGGGUAUGGCUGUUCGCCAUUUAAAGUGGUACGCGAGCUGGGUUUAGAACGUCGUGAGACAGUUCGGUCCCUAUCUGCCGUGGGCGCUGGAGAACUGAGGGGGGCUGCUCCUAGUACGAGAGGACCGGAGUGGACGCAUCACUGGUGUUCGGGUUGUCAUGCCAAUGGCACUGCCCGGUAGCUAAAUGCGGAAGAGAUAAGUGCUGAAAGCAUCUAAGCACGAAACUUGCCCCGAGAUGAGUUCUCCCUGACUCCUUGAGAGUCCUGAAGGAACGUUGAAGACGACGACGUUGAUAGGCCGGGUGUGUAAGCGCAGCGAUGCGUUGAGCUAACCGGUACUAAUGAACCGUGAGGCUUAACCUU